UGCGUAGGUGGUUGUUUAAGUCUGUUGUGAAAGCCCUGGGCUCAACCUGGGAACUGCAGUGGAAACUGGACGACUAGAGUGUGGUAGAGGGUAGCGGAAUUCCUGGUGUAGCAGUGAAAUGCGUAGAGAUCAGGAGGAACAUCCAUGGCGAAGGCAGCUACCUGGACCAACACUGACACUGAGGCACGAAGCGUGGGGAGCAAACA
rnacentral:rRNA from 1 species